GCCCCCCAGGCCGGCCCCCGGUGCGGGUGCCCGCCCUCCACGCCGCGAGACCUCCCGCUGGCGGAGCCAAUUUCCGGGCUUAAGGAAGACACCUUUAAAAAACGUUACAUCGUGGCCCCAGACACCACAAAACAGGUUUUAUUAAACUCCUCCCACCUCCCCUGGCUCCAUCUCUUGGAUACAUCGAUUUGCACAAGGGUUUUGAAACGUUUCCCUAAGCGCAGAUGCAACGAAAGUAAUUAUCUAUGAAGGGCCAUUCCGGUAAGGACGCGGAAUCCGAAGGAGGAAAUAAAACAAUAGCCUUUGUUCUGCUUCUCGACCGCUGCCUCUUUAAGAGAAUCCACCAGGAAAUGGGAGAUCGGGUUACAGCCUGCACACGGGGAAAUGUGGGGAGAGCGGGCGCCCGAGCGCGACGCCGGAGACAAAGCCGGGGCGGCCGCGCUGUAGACGCUGGGGGACCGCCGGGCGGGGGGAUUCCCGGGGAAGGUGGGCGCCCCGGAAAGAGGUGGCGCCGCGCGCCCGCUUGGGGAUGCGGCGGCCGCGGGCGCUUCCCCAGCCGAGCACGCGCUCCGGGACGGGAAGGUUGCAGGGCAGUUAUCAAAGGCAGCUGAGUUCCUUUUCCUGACCUCCCCCUCCUGUUUCGAAAUCUACUGCCCUUUUAAAGAAAUAGCGGCCGCCACCAACCGAAAUAGGUGACUCGACUACAAACUUGGCAGGACGUGUUCCUGCAGAUAAUACCCCUCCCCAGGACCGCUUCUGUGAAACCGUCAUUGGCCGGUUGAUUGGAUGGCCCUGGGAUCCUGCAGGGGGAGGAAUAUUUGGUUGGAAAAGCAGUUGAGGGUGGUUGAGGCCGUUGGGACUGAGGGGUCUAGCCUUGAGCACAAGUGGUCUGAUUACUUUAUUAUUUUUAUUAUUAUUUACAGUCUCUUAAAUUGCCCUGAAGUGUCCACCACAAAAAACUGAGAACAUUAUCAUUAUACUUAAAUUCUAACCUUGUUAACACAUAUAUGGGGGUUUAAUAUGUGGAUGUGUAAUGUAAAACGAAAUUUGUUGUAAUUUCGUCUCUAUUGAGUAAUAUAUUAAAUAUGGUAUAAAUAUGUAUAUACCCAUAUAUGUUACCUGCACCGAACCAGGACACAUUUCCCCGAGUCUCCCCACCCUACAGAUUUUGCCUACCCACUUUUCUUCACCUCUCCAUAUUAUGAAAUGUGUUCAGACUUGUAUACACAAUACUUUUGUUCACACAUUGAUCAGAUCACUCCGAACGAGGCUAGGGUGGGAAAGAGUGCUGUUGCUGGGAUGGUGGGAACUGGUUUUUGUGAGCCUCCAGGAACCUGAACAGUGUUUGUCAACUGGUAGUCCUACUCUCCAAGAGAUCUCAGUCUUGUCCACACCGACUCCUCUGCCUUUGACCACCCCCUUCUUCCCUUUAACAAAUCUGUAUUCUUUUGCUUUUCAUAAUUGAUGUUGCAGACAUUGGUUCAGAUGUCCCAUUGCUGGGUUAUGUCUUCUACAUCACUUAGCAAUGUGAUCCGUGACAACUCAGUUACUAAGCUUCUGUAAAAUGGGGAGAAAUAGUACCUAGCUUAUAAGAUUAUCUUAUUAAAUCAGAAAAUAUAUACAAAUGCCUCCUUAGCAGAGAGCAGCACAAUAUAUGUGCUCAGUUAAAGUUGGCUACAAUUAUUAUUUAAGCCCAGGACUAAAUUAGUUCUUGACUUUUCUUCCUAACUCCUCCUCAACGUCUACAAGUGAUUCAUAGAAGUAGUAGUUUGAAGUAAACUGUUUGUGGUUCCAAAGCAAAAAACAUAGUUGACAACUGUAGCAAAAGCUACAUUUAGACCAGGGGUUGCCAGUCUCUGUAAAGGGCCGUGUUGUAAAUGCCUUAGUCUUUGUGGGCCGAGAGACAAAAUUGAGAAUGUCAGGUAGAUACUUACAUAACAUGACGAGAAAAAAGUUCACAGUUUUUUAUUUUAUCAAUUCAAAGUGUAAUAAUACAAUUUUAAUACAGGUAUACUAAUGAAAGGCAUGGAAUUCUUUUGGGGGGAAAUAACAUUUCACUUGGUGUUCAAAGUGUUCUUUCAUAAAAAUUGACUGCAGAUGUUCAUCUAUUAAUGCUGAUUUUUUAUGAGAUUUUAUGUACUUCAUUUUUGAAAUGUCUUUCUACCCAGACAGGUACUGCCAAAGACUGGUAUCAACCCAUGAGCACGUGAUUUUACUUGAGUGUAUUCAUUGCUUAGAAGGCAUUUCUAAAAUUCUAUUAGAAUUCUAUAAAAUCUCUUGAUAUUUCCCCUUUAGGAUGCCAUUACAUUGCAGAUUAAUCACUUCCAGUUGAAGGUUAAAUGGAAGCUUCUCAGUUGCACAAUCUGCUUUUCCAUCUGGUAUCUUCCCUUUGGCCUGAAGAACUUCGCUCAGCAUUGCCUGUGUGUUGUUUGUUGGAGAAGCCUCUCAGCUUUUGUCUGCCUCUAAAUGUCUUUAUUUCACUUUUGAAGGGUAUUUUUACUGUAUGUAAAAUUUUAUGUUGACAUUUUCUUUUCUUUCAGCACUUUAAACAUGUCAUUCAUCUUCUGACUUCAUAUUUUGAUUAAAAAAAUCACUUGUAGUUCAUA